GACGAACGCUGGCGGCGUGCUUAACACAUGCAAGUCGAGCGGUAAGGCCCUUUCGGGGGUACACGAGCGGCGAACGGGUGAGUAACACGUGGGUGACCUGCCCUCAGCUCUGGGAUAAGCCUGGGAAACUGGGUCUAAUACCGGAUAUGACUCCAUGACGCAUGUUGUGGGGUGGAAAGCCUUGUGCGGCUGAGGAUGGGCCCGCGGCCUAUCAGCUUGUUGGUGGGGUGAUGGCCUACCAAGGCGACGACGGGUAGCCGGCCUGAGAGGGCGACCGGCCACACUGGGACUGAGACACGGCCCAGACUCCUACGGGAGGCAGCAGUGGGGAAUCUUGCGCAAUGGGCGAAAGCCUGACGCAGCGACGCCGCGUGAGGGAU
rnacentral:rRNA from 1 species